rnacentral:rRNA from 1 species
GAUGAACGCUAGCGGCAGGCCUAAUACAUGCAAGUCGAGGGGCAGCAGGGAUAGCAAUAUUCGCUGGCGACCGGCGCACGGGUGCGUAACACGUAUGUAACAUACCUACAACAGGAGGAUAGCCCGGGGAAACUCGGAUUAUACUCCAUAAAACAAGGGAACCGCAUGGGUAUAUUGUUAAAGAUUUAUCGGUUGUAGAUUGGCAUGCGUAGGAUUAGCUAGUUGGUAAGGGAACGGCUUAACAAGGCUACGAUCCGUAGGGGGUCUGAGAGGAUGAUCCCCCACACUGGUACUGAGAUACGGACCAGACUCCUACGGGAGGCAGCAGUAGGGAAUAUUGGUCAAUGGGGGCAACCCUGAACCAGCCAUGCCGCGUGUAGGAAGAAGGCGUUAUGCGUUGUAAACUACUUUUGAUUGGGAACAAAUGACUUCUGCGGAAGUAGCUGAGUGUACCAUAGAAUAAGCCACGGCUAACUACGUGCCAGCAGCCGCCGUAA